AUUGAACGCUGGCGGCAGGCCUAACACAUGCGAGUCGAACGGUAACAGGAAGCAGCUUGCUGCUUUGCUGACGAGUGGCGGACGGGUGAGUAAUGUCUGGGAAACUGCCCGAUGGAGGGGGAUAACUACUGGAAACGGUAGCUAAUACCGCAUAACGUCGCAAGACCAAAGAGGGGGACCUUAGGGCCUCUUGCCAUCGGAUGUGCCCAGAUGGGAUUAGCUAGUAGGUGGGGUAACGGCUCACCUAGGCGACGAUCCCUAGCUGGUCUGAGAGGAUGACCAGCCACACUGGAACUGGAACACGGUCCAGACUCCUACGGGAGGCAGCAGUGGGGAAUAUUGCACAAUGGGCGCAAGCCUGAUGCAGCCAUGCCGCGUGUAUGAAGAAGGCCUUCGGGUUGUAAAGUACUUUCAGCGGGGAGGAAGGGAGUAAAGUUAAUACCUUUGCUCAUUGACGUUACCCGCAGAAGAAGCACCGGCUAACUCCGUG
rnacentral:rRNA from 1 species